rnacentral:rRNA from 1 species
CACGUAGGGGGCGAGCGUUGUCCGGAUUUAUUGGGCGUAAAGAGCUCGUAGGCGGUUCGGCAAGUCGGGUGUGAAAUUUCGAGGCUCAACCUCGAAACGCCACUCGAUACUGCUGUGACUGGAGUCCGGUAGAGGAGUGCGGAAUUCCUGGUGUAGCGGUGAAAUGCGCAGAUAUCAGGAGGAACGCCAACGGCGAAGGCAGCACUCUGGGCCGGUACUGACGCUGAGGAGCGAAAGCUAGGGGAGCAAACGGG